ensembl:snoRNA small nucleolar RNA SNORD2
UAGUGAAAAUGAUAGCAAUCAUCUUUUGGGACUGACCUGAAAUGAAGGGAAUACUCCUUCCUAAUCACUU